rnacentral:rRNA from 1 species
CAGCAUAUCAAUAAGCGGAGGAAAAGAAACCAACAGGGAUUGCCUCAGUAACGGCGAGUGAAGCGGCAAUAGCUCAAAUUUGAAAGCUGGCGUCUUCGACGUCCGCGUUGUAAUUUGUAGAGGAUGCUUCGGCAAGGACUCCUGCCUAAGUCCCCUGGAACGGGGCGUCACAGAGGGUGAGAAUCCCGUAUGUGGCGGGCGGUCCAAGCCAUGUGAAGCUCCUUCGACGAGUCGAGUUGUUUGGGAAUGCAGCUCUAAAUGGGAGGUAAAUUUCUUCUAAAGCUAAAUAUUGGCCAGAGACCGAUAGCGCACAAGUAGAGUGAUCGAAAGAUGAAAAGCACUUUGGAAAGAGAGUUAAAAAGUACGUGAAAUUGUUGAAAGGGAAGCGCUUGCAACCAGACUCGCUCGCAGUUGCUCAGCCGGCCUCUUGGCCGGUGUACUCUUCUGCGAUCGGGCCAGCAUCAGCUCGGGCGGCCGGAUAAAGGUGUCGGGAAUGUAGCACCCUUCGGGGUGUGUUAUAGCCCGGCGCGGAAUGCGGCCAGCCUGGGCUGAGGAUCUCGCUUCGGCAAGGAUGCUGGCGUAAUGGUUGUAAGCGGCCCGUCUUGAAACACGGACCAAGGAGUCUAACAUCUAUGCGAGUGUUUGGGUGUCAAACCCAUGCGCGUAAUGAAAGUGAACGGAGGUGGGAACCCUUCACGGGGUGCACCAUCGACCGAUCCUGAUGUCUUCGGAUGGAUUUGAGUAAGAGCAUAGCUGUUGGGACCCGAAAGAUGGUGAACUAUGCCUGAAUAGGGUGAAGCCAGAGGAAACUCUGGUGGAGGCUCGCAGCGGUUCUGACGUGCAAAUCGAUCGUCAAAUUUGGGUAUAGGGGCGAAAGACUAAUCGA